rnacentral:rRNA from 1 species
UACGUAGGGUGCAAGCGUUGUCCGGAAUUAUUGGGCGUAAAGCGCAUGUAGGCGGCCGAAUAAGUCGGGUGUGAAAGCCCAGGGCUUAACCCUGGAAGUGCACUCGAAACUGCUCGGCUUGAAUAUGGAAGAGGGUCGCGGAAUUCCCGGUGUAGAGGUGAAAUUCGUAGAUAUCGGGAGGAACACCAGUGGCGAAGGCGGCGACCUGGGCCAAUAUUGACGCUGAGAUGCGAAAGCGUGGGGAGCAAACAGG